AUUUAAAUAGCUUAAAUAAAAGCAUAGUAUUGAAGAUACUAGGAUGGGUUUUACCUUUAAAUA
rnacentral:tRNA from 1 species